GUGACCUUGGAUCCACAGUUAGGGCAAGGACACUGUGACUGCAGAUUCACAUCCGGGACAAGGAUGUUAUGACCACAGAUUCACAUCUGGGACAAGGAUGGUAUGAUCCCAGAUCCACACCGAGGCCAAGGAUGGUGUGAUCCCAGAUCCACAUCCAGGCCAAGGAUGGUGCCACCGCAGCUGCCUCUGGUGUACUUCCAAGGCCUUCCCUGAACUGCCUUCAGCUCUCCAGCGCUGGACUGUUAGUUGCCUCUCAGGGGUGUCCCAGAGCUGGUCCGAUCCCUGGAGCUGUCAUCCAUUCCGUUAGGAACAACACUGCAAUCCUCUCCAUCCUCUGCCGGCUUGUAAGGUUGAGGGUUUUGAUUUAA